GACCCCUUAGCUCAGCGGUAGAGCGUCGCAUUCCAGUUUCUUGCGAUCCUGAUUAUAUCGCGAAGGCCGUCCGUUCAAUCCGGGCAGGGGUCA